ensembl:misc_RNA
AGACUUGCAAGAAUCACAGUAACAGAGUGGAACACCUUCUUGACGUGUUAGGAACUUGAGUCAUAAUUUGUUGUUGACUCAGAACAAGUGUUUGGCGUUAUCUGCCACAGAG